UGGGGGAUAUUGCACAAUGGGCGAAAGCCUGAUGCAGCGACGCCGCGUGGGGGAUGAAGGCCUUCGGGUUGUAAACUUCUUUUGCUCUGAACAAGGCAUGCUAAUGGGUGUGUUGAGUGUAGGGGUUGAUUAGCGCCGGCUAACUACGUGCCAGCAGCCGCGGUAAUACGUAGGGCGCGAGCGUUGUCCGGAAUUAUUGGGCGUAAAGGGCUUGUAGGUGGCUGGUUGCGUCUGUCGUGAAAGCUCAUGGCUUAACUGUGGGUUUGCGGUGGGUACGGGCUGGCUUGAGUGCAGUAGGGGAGGCUGGAAUUCCUGGUGUAGCGGUGGAAUGCGCAGAUAUCAGGAGGAAUACCGGGGGCGAAGGCGGGUCGCUGGGCUGUUACUGACACUGAGGAGCGAAAGCAUGGGGAGCGAACAGG
rnacentral:rRNA from 1 species